AAAAAAAGUGAAGGUCUAUACCAGGGGUGGCGAACUCCGGUCCUGGCGAGCCGCAGCCAUGCAGAGUUCAGCUCCCACCCU